rnacentral:rRNA from 1 species
GACGGAGGGUGCAAGCGUUGUUCGGAUUGACUGGGCGUAAAGGGCGUGUAGGCGGUUGCCCAAGUCCGAUGUGAAAGCCCGGGGCUUAGCCUCGGAAGUGCGUCGGAAACUAGGCAGCUGGAGCGCGAUAGAGGAGGGUAGAAUUCCUGGUGUAGCGGUGAAAUGCGUAGAUAUCAGGAGGAAUACCGGCGGCGAAGGCGGCCCUCUGGAUCGUUGCUGACGCUGAGACGCGAAAGCGUGGGGAGCAAACAGG